UGCAAGAUAACUGAGACGAAUUGUCCGUCUGCAGACUUGGUUGAGGCAUUUAUCAAGAUAAUAGAGGAGAAGGCUGACACGAUUGAUAAGGUAGAUCAUUUGGAAAUAUGGAUGCCCUCCACCGCCAGCGAGCAAUCUGUGAACUACUUGGCUCAAGCUUGAUGGCGAGGCACAUGCUGGACAAAUUACGCGUCAUUAAAG